rnacentral:lncRNA from 1 species
CUUUAUGUUUUCCUCUGAACCGUCGCAAUUUUGUUCUCCCUCCCCGCAACGGAACGGAGAACGGGGAGAGAGAAAGAGAGGAGAGAGAGGAGAGCAGAGGAGAGCAGAGCGUCAAAAGGUGCAGAGAGGUGGGCCAGGGAGAGAGGAGAGAGAGAAGCUCCCGCGCGCUGGUUCGAAACGGAGAAGUGGACGACGUGGACUGACACCGGGACACGUGUC